GACGAACGCUGGCGGCGUGCCUAAUACAUGCAAGUAGAACGCUGAAGGAGGAGCUUGCUCUUCUGGAUGAGUUGCGAACGGGUGAGUAACGCGUAGGUAACCUGCCUGGUAGCGGGGGAUAACUAUUGGAAACGAUAGCUAAUACCGCAUAACAGUAGAUGUUGCAUGACAUUUGCUUAAAAGGUGCAAUUGCACCACUACCAGAUGGACCUGCGUUGUAUUAGCUAGUUGGUGGGGUAACGGCUCACCAAGGCGACGAUGCAUAGCCGACCUGAGAGGGGGAUCGGCCACACUGAGAGUGAGACACGGCCCAGACUCCUACGGGAGGCAGCAGUAGGGAAACUUCGGCAAUGGACGGAAGUCUGACCGAGCAACGCCGCGUGAGGGAAGAAGGGUGUCGGAUCGUAGAGCUCUGUUGUAAGAGAAGAACGAGUGUGAGAGUGGAAAGUUCACACUGUGACGGUAUCUGACCAGAAAGGGACGGCUAACUACGUG
rnacentral:rRNA from 1 species